rnacentral:lncRNA from 1 species
CAAAAUUCAUUUUUUCGCUUUCCUCCACUCCUAUUAUUUAAGAAUCUACACUUUACCUCCCUAAAAAAUAAAAAAUAUUCAUUUCGGACUCUGCUAUCAGUAUUUCAUUAGGGUUCCGUCUAUAUACUAUUAUUAUAUAUAUUUUUAUACUGAAAAUACCCUUCUACGGAUGAAGAAGAGUUGGGGAGAAGAGGAAGAGGGAGAGGGCAUGUUGGUCAUUUUGUCAAUAUAGUUAACAUCGUACCCCUCUGUGUAGGGAUGUCAAUAGAUAUAGAUAUUCAAAAUUUUAUCUGAACCCGAACCCGAACCCGAACAGAGCAAAUUUAUUCAAUGCUAAAUGGAUAUGGUUUCGAAUAUGAAUAUCAAAAAUAAAAACCCGACGGACAUGAAUAGAAAUAUGGAUUUUGACUAUACCCGAUCCAAACCCAAACUCGACCCGAACCCAAUCCGUACCCGAAUUUGAAUUUAUAUUUUAAAAUUUUAAAAUUAAUAUAAUAUAUUUUGAAAUGUUGAAAAGAGAAAUAAUUGUUUCGAGUUCAGAUUUCCGGGCUCGGGUUCGGGUUCGGGUUAGGGUUUCGCGUUUCUGGUUGGGUUCGGGUUCGGAUAUGUAUUUUUAAAAUCCGUCGGGUUCGGGUUCGGGUUCGGGUUUCGGGUUUAGAGUCGAGUUCGGGUUGGGGUUUUUGAAAAUUCGCUCCGAAUCCGACUCUUUGAUAUCUUUAUCUCUGUAAAUAUUUUUUAUUUUUUAGAAGGAUAUCUCUACCUCUGUAAAUAUUUUUUUAUUUUUUAGAAAUAU